AUCAAAUUUACUUAACUCAACAGCACGCCUAUGUAGGCAAAUGCCACCCAUUUACAUGACUUCAUCAUUUCAAGGUAGAUUAAAAGUUGUUCUGUGAAACAGGUAUAUUAUCUUCGAUUAAGAUUUUCUUAAUUAUUUUCUCUGGAGAGCUGUAUUUAUCAUGCUAACGUUUUCUUUUUGAAUGACUAACAUUUUACGUGUAUAUUGAAUUGCUUGAAUCUGAGAUUAGAUGUUUGGAAGAUUCUCCAGGAAAUAGCUUGCUUAUACUGUUGAUUUUGAUUUAUCUCCUAUAUGAUUGCAAAUUCAAGCUGCCUUCCGAACUGAUGAGAUACGAAGGACUCCUCCUACCCCACAAGAUGAAAUGAGAGCUGGAAUGAGCUACUUCCACGAGACAAUUUGGAAUGGCGUGCCAAAGUUUCUGUGACGUGUUGAUACGGCAUUUAGAAUAUCGGGAUUAACGAACAUGUUCCAUACAAUGCCCUUCUAAUUCAGUUUUCUUCUUGGAUGGGUGGAGAUGAUGAUGGUAUAUUCUUUUUUGCCCAAGACAAAUACCAUCUAUUAUGUAGUGUCACAAAUUAGUUAGAAUAUAGGCAACAGGACAUAUCAUGUCGAAAGAUUUAAUGCAUGUUUAAAUAUAUAUUUAUCAUUUUCAUAUAUUGUUGCAAACUUGCAGUCGUCUUUUAGUUGUUCUGUAUUUAUGAGUUUCAAAUAAUAAGAC
rnacentral:lncRNA from 1 species